GUUUUUUUUUUAAUUUCAAAAAAAAGUUUAAUUAUUUUGCUUUUGGAAACUAUAAAUUAGGUUAGCCAUCUAAUUUUUUCUAAUAGAAGUUUAUACGUGUUUCUUUAAAGAAAAUAAUGUCUUCGUUAUUUUUCUUGAUAUCUUUUGUUGGAAAUAACCAAGAAAAGGAUAUCAGACAGGGUAACCAUAUCAAAGGCUUUACACUCCAGUGGCAGUUCUUAAUUGCUUUGACACAACAUCAGUGAAUAUUCUUGUUCUUCCAUUUUGAAGAUACAAGGCCAAGGUCAACGAUUGUCUCAGAAAAUUCAUGAAAUCGUAACUUGAACUAAUUCUGGGUUCAGCUUCACAGUUUUCAAGCUUUUCUGUGCUUCAUUUGGAACCACUUUGCCUAUAUGCAUUGUAUAUGAACAAGAGUGUCAUCCUGAGAAAAACUCAGUAAGUGGUUUGAAGCUAUAUGGUUUAACUGUUAGAAUCUUUAAAUGUGUCAUCUUCCACUUUACAUUUUAAGUACUAGACUUCACAAAAAAUAGCCAAUUUUCUUUAAUUGCAUUUUAGUUGGCACCACUUAUUUUCUUACAUGUCUUUGACAUUCUAAGUUAUGAUAUUAAAGAAAAUCCUUGCACUACAGCCUUUUCAUAAAAUACAAGAUUCUCAUGUUGAAGGUUUUGUAUUAGAAGAAAUGCUACUGGUUAAGGUAAAGCAUUAUAAAAUGGUUAACUUUGCUUGAUAGCGUUUUCUGUGUUCUCAUUGCUCUACCUUGUGUGAGUGUUACUCUAAUUGUGAAUUACUUACUGAGCCCUUUUCGCAUCUUUUUUAAAGCAGCACCUUUGGACACCUCAUUCUGGGAAGCUUGCUUGAGUCACAGUAAAGGACACACACACUUGUGUGGGGAAGAAGUGGUAAAAUGGAGAGUUUUGUCUUAAUUACAUGAAACUAAGCUUUAAAAUAUUUUAUAACAAAUUAUUUGAGCUGCAUAAUCUAAACAUGUCAAACGUUUUGUGGGACUAUUUUUAUAUAUGUAUAUGUGGGUGUAGGUCAUAACAUUUCAGUUUAUAAUAUAAAUCGUUAUUUCAGUUUAUAAGCUAUCUCUCAAAAGAGACUAGCUCUUUUGAGAAUACAUAAUUUAAAAGUUUUAGACUGAAGUAAAACAACAUAGACAAUAGUGUAAAUUAGAAAUAAUUGAGGGCUAUAUGGCAGUGAAACUGCUAGUGCCAGUUUUCUUGUUUGCCUACCAUGUUUCAGUUUUUGUUUUUGUUGUUUUGUUUUGUUUCGCAUUCUGAACAUUUUGAGAGACCAUACAUUUGUUUAAUUACAUUUAGAGUCGGUUUGGGAAUAAAUAUCUUCUAAAAAGAGAUUUAUCUUAAAAAUUAAAGUCCUAAAAAUAGUUUAUUGAGAGUUUAUUACUUCAAAUACCCCAUAGGCAUGAACUAGAAUAGAUAAUUCAUGGAAAUCCCAUCCUUUCACUAUAGCAGUAUAACUCCCAAUAUUAUGUGAGUAACAUUGAGAAUGCUGUAGCUUUGUUCCCUCUUAAAAUUCUUGGGUUUGCUUUUGGCUCCUUUGGGAACAACCAUAUUAAAAGUUACUAAUCAGUAUCUCAGUAAGGGUUGGGUAUUUGCUUUCUGAAGGAAUGUUCCUAGGAGGUGAUCAGAAAAGUUCUUUUCUGCCUACCUUGUAUAUGCCCUAUACUCUUGGGCAUACUUUAUCUAUAGAAAAGUAUUUUGACCUUUAGGUACCUUUGGGACCAGUAGUCAAAUAAUCCUAGGGCCGAUAUUAAAAUCUUAGGAUAAUUUAAGGUUUGCCUUUUAUAUCUGUUUUGAAAGCCUUUACAUUUUUUUUUUGGUCAGGUAAUUUUUCCCAAGCCGUGAAUAUAAUCUAUUCAACAUGUUUAUGCUAUCC
ensembl:lncRNA